CGUGGACAUCCCCAAGCACAUCCAAAACAUAAGCCCUGGAAUUGGAGAAAACUUCCUUUCAUCAUAAAACUGCUGUUCAAGUGACUUAGAAUGAUCACAUCGGAAGAGUAAAGUGAGUUCGCUGUGUAGGCACUGAGUAUAGUUGACAGGUUUCUUACCGGACAUAGGAAGACUUGUGUAUGGAAGAGAAGGUGGUCAUGUGACCGCAUUGCUAACUUUUGACAAAGGGAGAACAGACGGCAUAUGUUACCAUAUUAAGAAUGUCUACAAAGUCUUUGAAGCAAAUCAGGGGUCCAUUCAGCAUCACUGUUGAUAGAAAUCAUGGUACCCACAGAGAACAGAAGAGUUACUGGAUCUCUUGAAUCAGGAGAUGCAGGCAGUUGUGAGCCACCCUACAUGUGCUAGGAAUCAGACUCUGGUCUUCUGAAAAAUCAGAGUGACUGUCCUGUAUGGGCUGUAUUCUCCAUUAAUCUUUGGAAGUUGAAAGCUUGCUUUAGUUUCACAUGCUCAUGGUUAGUGGAUGUUCCUGUUACGGUGGAUCCUGAUUUGAUCUUCACAUGAGAUUCUGGACUUUGAAUGUUGAUAUUGAAAUAAGCAAAAGGCUUACAGAUUUCUGUGGAUAUUUGCAUGAAAAUAAGAUUCCAUUUGAGCUGAAUGUUUACUUCUUACUUCUCCCUUCAGAGGACACAGUGAUUUCCAUGGCUGGGAGUCUCCAAAUAGCGGAUUAUUUCUUCAAGCUGGUAACAAUGCAAGACGUACUUGGGAUAAAAUUUCUCUGCACAUUUCAUGCUCAUAUUUAAAGAAAGUAUAGUUUUGUGCAAGUAUAAAGGCUUAGGAAAUUCACUGGCAGAAAUGGUCUUGCAAAUACCCUUAGUGUAUUUCUAGGUUCUAAAGAAUUUAUUUGGACCCGGUGAGAGAGAAACCCAACCGCCUGGUCAGGUGGGCACUCCUGAGGCUGCAGAGCGGAAGAGACCACCAACACUGCUCACCCCUGCCCACAUCCCUGGCCCAAGAGGAAACUGUAUAAGGCCUCUGGGCUCCCGUGGGGGAGGGCCCAGGAGCGGCAGGACCCCGCCGGACCCUGAAGGAAACAGACCGGAUAAACAGUUCUCUGCACCCAAAUCCCGUGGGAGGGAGAGCUAAACCUUCAGAGAGGCGGACAAGCCUGGGAAACCAGAAGAGACUGCUCCCUGCAC